rnacentral:rRNA from 1 species
GACGAACGCUGGCGGCGUGCCUAAUACAUGCAAGUAGAACGCAGUUGCGAACGGGUGAGUACCGCGUAGGUAACUGCCUGGUAGCGGGGGAUAACUAUUGGAAACGAUAGCUAAUACCGCAUACUACCAGAUGGACCUGCGUUGUAUUAGCUAGUUGGUGAGGUAACCGGUCACCAAGGCAACGAUACAUAGCCGACCGGGGAGGGUGAGUGGCCAAACUGGGACUUGUGACAGGGCCAGAAUCCUACGGGAGGCAGCAGGAGGGGAACUUCGGAAAUGGGGGGAACCCCGACCGAGCAAAGCCGCGGGAGUGAAGAAGGUUUUCGGAUCGGAAAGCUCUGUUGUUAAGGAAGCGGUACUUAACCAGAAAGGGACGGCUAACUACGUGCCAGCAGCCGCGGUAAUAC